CUGAUUCAAGUGGUCUCUCGUGUCC
rnacentral:miRNA from 1 species